UAUGCCGGGCGUGGGGCAGACGCCGAGGGGGGUGGGCGGAGACAGGAGGGAGGAAGCCAGGUCCUGCUUCCAGAGGCGUGGUAGUUGGAAAUUUGCUUCCGGAAGCGCAGAAGUUUAGCUUCCGGCAACUGCAGGUGUAGGGGUUUGUGUUGCAAUUUCAUUAAGCUAAUAACUUCUGUUGCUAAAAUAAAUUCAGUGAAAU
rnacentral:antisense_RNA from 1 species